GCAGCUUCACCUGGGAAAUCGAUGGAAAUGCAAAUCUUGGGACCCCACUACAGGCCUUCUGAGUAAGAAACUCUGAGGGUGUGCCCAAUAAUCGGCCUUACCAACCCUGAAGAUCCUGUGUCUCAUUCAUUCAUUCAAGUGUUAAAUGAGUGUCUUCUCUGUGACAAUCACUCCUCUGAGCAGUGAUGUUAGAACAGUGAAAAAGAAAAGGCACAAGAGAAAAACCCUCUUGUCAUUUCAGUGGGAGAACCAGACAGUAAACAAAAUAUAUGGCAUGUCAAAGUGGAAAGUGCUAGGAAGAAAAUAAAGGAAGCAAAGGGGACCAAUAAGACUGUUGUGAAUUCAGUUUUAAAUAAUUUGGUCAGGGAAGGUUGGUAAGUGAGAAGGUUGUAUUUGAGGGAAAAGCCAAAGAAUAUGAAGAGCAAAUUCCCCAUGCAGAAUUCAAGGGGGAAAAUAUUUGAAGCAGAGAGAAUGGCAUGUGCAAAUGCUCUGAGGCGAAGCAAGCCUAGCACAUUUGAGAAUGGCUGGAGACAAAAGAAAGUCAAAGAAAUGAGGU
rnacentral:lncRNA from 1 species